UGUUGCUUCCUAGAUCCUAGCCUCGAUCCCAGGCCGAGUUUUCGCUUUUAUAACGGUUAGGCGAACAACUGGGCCUGGUACUAGUUGUCUGCGCAUGCGUCAGUCGUUCGUCAGAUUCUGACGAAUGGAUAUUCUCGUUCACUUUCGUGACAUUUAUAUUCGUGUACUAUCGUGUACUAGAAGUCAGUUCCCGUUUUAUCAUUAUUGGAAUCGAUUGGAAUGGCUCUUAGCUGAAGCUUCUCUCUUCUCUGAAGCUUAUUCUGAAGACUGAACAACAAGUGAAGAGGUAUAAAGCUUUGUCAAGCUUGUUAAGGUCAGAUAUUUUUGUGUGGGCCCUAUGGCCGGCUAUGCUAUCAUGUCAAGUCUUGUUCAUGUUUGGCAAGAAUGUAGGUAGACUAUAGUUUCAUCAUUAAUUAAUAUGGUGGAUCAAGUGAAGAGUGUGAGCUAGAGAACUUGGUGCUGCCAUCAUCAGCUCGUCGACAAUGACACUAUAAAACCGAGAAAUUUAAUAUGUAUAUAUAGAUCUACACGUAUUUAAAAUAUCUACUUCUCUGUACAGGAGCAAUGGCUAAUAUCCAGCUAUCCCAACAGUGCUCCUCUUGGCUAUACUAACGGACGAGACUGGACAGUUUGAGACACAGGACUGGAGUAUGACCUGCUCAUUCGAGCGUUGCUGGGUAGCUCAGAGACAUCAAGAGAAUCUACGUUUUCUCAAGCAAUGAGUUACGAGUUGGGGCCUAGAAUCAGAGAAGUCCAGCAGCCUGCUAAAUCUUUUUGAAACGUAAUUUGAAGGCAUUCAAUUAUCCUGAAGUUGCCCUGGGUCACUGUAAUUGUGCUGCAGCACAACUGGCAACUCCCCAGGCCUUUGUGAAGCAGCUCCCUAUGUGCAUCUUUUGUGUACUCACUCUGUGCAUUUUCUGUGUACAAAUUUCUAUUAUUGAUUUAUUAAAUAUUUUUGCCGACCACAAA